rnacentral:rRNA from 1 species
GGACUACUGGGGUAUCUAAUCCUGUUUGCUCCCCACGCUUUCGCAUCUCAGUGUCAGUUUAUAAAUCUAGAUACUCGCCUAUGCCUCUGAGGGUCCUUCUAAUAUUUAAAAAUUUAACCUUUACACUAGAAAUUCCAGUAUCCCAUCGAUAAUACUCAAGUUCACCAGUAUUGCAAAUAGUUCCACAGUUAAGCCAUGGGUUUUUAAAAGCAACUUAGUCAACCACCUACAUGCCCUUUACGCCCAGUCAUGACGAAUAACACUUGCACCCUUCGUAUUACCGCGGCUGCUGGCAC